UGGGGAAUUUUGGACAAUGGGCGAAAGCCUGAUCCAGCCAUGCCGCGUGAGUGAAGAAGGCCUUCGGGUUGUAAAGCUCUUUUAGUCGGAAAGAAAGAGUUGCAAUGAAUAAUUGUGAUUUAUGACGGUACCGACAGAAAAAGCACCGGCUAACUACGUGCCAGCAGCCGCGGUAAUACGUAGGGUGCGAGCGUUAAUCGGAUUUACUGGGCGUAAAGCGUGCGUAGGCGGUUUGUUAAGUCUGCUGUGAAAGCCCCGGGCUUAACCUGGGAAUUGCGUUUGAAACUACAAGGCUAGAGUGCAGCAGAGGGGAGUGGAAUUCCAUGUGUAGCAGUGAAAUGCGUAGAGAUGUGGAAGAACACCGAUGGCGUAGGCAGCUCCCUGGGUUGACACUGACGCUCAUGCACGAAAGCGUGGGGAGCAAACA
rnacentral:rRNA from 1 species